rnacentral:misc_RNA from 1 species
AACGCACAUUGCGCCCCCUGGCAUUCCGGGGGGCACACCUGUCCGAGCGCCGUCGCAACACUGAGGCUCAGCCUUGCGUUGGCGGCCGGCCUCCUGUCACUGGGAGGCCGCCGCUCAAACACCGAUGGCGCCGCAACGCGGCCGGCGAAUGCGCAAAAGCACAAGCCCGACGUGUGGUGGCCGCCUUGUAACGAGUUACAAAUGCUUGGCCUCGGAUCAGGUGGGGAUACCCGCUGAACUUAA